rnacentral:rRNA from 1 species
CGAACGCUGGCGGCGUGGAUAAGACAUGCAAGUCGAGCGGGAUGUUUCAAAUAGCAAUAUUUGGUGCAUUCAGCGGCGCAAGGGUGUGUAACACGUGGGUAAUAUUCCUAUGAGUUUGGAACAACUCCGAGAAAUCGGAGCUAAUACCAAAUAACUUGAUAGUGUGGCAUCACUCUAUCAUUAAAGUUGGGGACCGUAAGGCCUGACGCUCUAAGAUUAGCCCGCGGCCUAUCAGCUAGUUGGUGAGGUAAAGGCUCACCAAGGCUAAGACGGGUAGCUGGUCUGAGAGGACGACCAGCCACACUGGAACUGAGACACGGUCCAGACACCUACGGGUGGCAGCAGUCGAGAAUUUUUCUCAAUGGGGGAAACCCUGAAGGAGCGACGCCGCGUGGGGGAUGAAUGGCUUCGGCCCGUAAACCCCUGUCAUCUGCGAGCAAUAUUUGUCAUCUAAUAAGUGCCAAAUUGAUAGUAGCGGAAGAGGAAGGG